AACGAACGCUGGCGGCAGGCCUAACACAUGCAAGUCGAACGCUCCGCAAGGGGAGUGGCGCACGGGUGAGUAACACGUGGGAACCUACCUUCUGGUACGGAACAACCAAGGGAAACUCUGGCUGAUACCGUAUACGACCUCCGGGUGAAAGAUUGAUCGCCGGAAGAGGGGCCCGCGUCCGAUUAGGUAGUUGGUGAGGUAACGGCUCACCAAGCCUGCGAUCGGUAGCUGGUCUGAGAGGANGACCAGCCACACUGGGACUGAGACACGGCCCAGACUCCUACGGGAGGCAGCAGUGGGGAAUCUUGCGCAAUGGGCGAAAGCCUGACGCAGCGACGCCGCGUGAGGGAUGACGGCCU
rnacentral:rRNA from 1 species